GAUGAAGAACGUAGCGAAAUGCGAUAAGUAAUGUGAAUUGCAGAAUUCAGUGAAUCAUCGAAUCUUUGAACGCACAUUGCGCCCGCCAGCAUUCUGGCGGGCAUGCCUGUUCGAGCGUCAUUUCAACCCUCAAGCUCUGCUUGGUGUUGGGGCCCUACGGUUGACGUAGGCCCUUAAAGGUAGUGGCGGACCCUCUCGGAGCCUCCUUUGCGUAGUAACUAACGUCUCGCAUUGGGAUUCGGAGGGACUCUUGCCGUAAAACCCCCAAAUUUUCUAAUGGUUGACCUCGGAUCAGGUAGGAAUACCCGCUGAACUUAAGCAUAUCAAUAAGCGGAGA
rnacentral:misc_RNA from 1 species